ACCAUUGUGGGGUAGUGGUUUGAGUGUUGGACUAGGAAUCCAGGAGACCAGGGAUCAAAUCCCUGCACAGCCA